CUUGUGUUCUCCUGAAGCCUCUGCCACGCAAUCUCUUCCAUCUUCUUCCUGUCUGAUGAUUUCCCCUGGACUCUCCCAUGGGCAUUUUUAUGUCAAUAGAUUGGAAUGUUUCUCUCCUCACUGGGAAAAGCUCCUUUGGUCUCAGUGAACUCAGAGGUGGAGAAAGUCAUAAGAAUCAGGGAGCCUGCCCCAAAUUGCCUCCUAUGAUAACUUUCCACAAAGACUGGAGGGGAGGCUUCAAACAUCUUCCUGCAGUGUCCAGCAAGACAGCGAGGCAGACUCCCUUUCUCCUGCCAAAGCCACGUGGAGCCAGACAGAACCACAAGCAUACCUGUGGUGCUUGGAGGCCCAAGUAGAAACUUGAAUGCUCACGGCUGCAUUGGCAGCUUCUACUUGCCUGCCUGGAUCACCGUUCCUCAUGAGAACUUGGAAAAGCAGGACUAUCAUUCUUGCUUGACAGACGAAGAAACCAAGCCUCAGUUUUGUAGGCUCCUACCAGUGAAAGCCUCCUCACAACUCUCUUCUUCUCCCCAAGGUAAGUAACUGCUUUUUCUUCUUCCAUGCUUUCUUUCAUUCCAGAGCCAUUCUCUCUGCAUAACCUCUAUUGAUGAGCUUCGUUUGCUGCUGUUUUCUUACCCUCAACCACCUCCUCCCUCAGCCACAGAAGUACAAUCCAUUGUUCUUUAUCUCUACCCUGUCCUUCUAGGAUUUCUACCACAAAAUAAGGCUGUUUUAUUAUGCCAUUCUACCCCUCACUUAGACUAUUUUAGAUAUAUUAUUUAAGCGGAAUCGUGUAGUGGUAGUCUUUCUGUGUCUGGC
rnacentral:lncRNA from 10 species